UUAGGAAUCUUGCGCAAUGGGCGAAAGCCUGACGCAGCCAUGCCGCGUGAAUGAUGAAGGUCUUAGGAUUGUAAAAUUCUUUCAGCGGGGAAGAUAAUGACGGUACCCGCAGAAGAAGCUCCGGCUAACUUCGUGCCAGCAGCCGCGGUAAUACGAAGGGGGCUAGCGUUGCUCGGAAUUACUGGGCGUAAAGGGCGCGUAGGCGGAUGACUAAGUUGGGGGUGAAAGCCCGGGGCUCAACCUCGGAACUGCCUUCAAUACUGGUCAUCUUGAGUACGGGAGAGGUGUGUGGAACUCCGAGUGUAGAGGUGAAAUUCGUAGAUAUUCGGAAGAACACCAGUGGCGAAGGCGACACACUGGCCCGUUACUGACGCUGAGGCGCGAAAGCGUGGGGAGCAAACAGGAUUAGAUACCCCCGUAGUCC
rnacentral:rRNA from 1 species